AUUGAACGCUGGCGGCAGGCCUAACACAUGCAAGUCGAACGAGUGGCGGAUGGGUGAGUAAUGUCUGGGAAACUGCCUGAUGGAGGGGGAUAACUACUGGAAACGGUAGCUAAUACCGCAUACCAUCAGAUGUGCCCAGCUGGGAUGAGCUAGUUGGUGGGGUAACGGCUCACCAAGGCGACGAUCCCUCGCUGGUCUGAGAGGAUGACCAGCCACACGGGAACGGAGACACGGUCCAGACUCCGACGGGAGGAAGAAGUGGGGAAUAUUGCACAAGGGGCGAAAGCCUGAUGCAGACAUGCCGCGUGUAUGAAGAAGGCCUUCGGGUUGUAAAGUACUUUCAGCGGGGAGGCGUUACCCGAAGAAGAAGCACCGGCUAACUCCGUGCCAGCCGCCGCGGUAAUAC
rnacentral:rRNA from 1 species